AUUGAACGCUGGCGGCAGGCCUAACACAUGCAAGUCGAGCGGAGCGGCGGACGGGUGAGUAAUGCCUAGGAAUCUGCCUGGUAGUGGGGGAUAACGUCCGGAAACGGGCGCUAAUACCGCAUACUAUCAAAUGAGUCUAGGUGGUAUUAGCUAGUUGUGGGGGUAAAGGCCUACCAAGGCGACGAUCCGUAACUGGUGUGAGCGGAUGAUAAGUCACACUGGAACUGAGACACGGUCCAGACUCCUACGGGAGGCAGCAGGGGGGAAUAUUGGACAAUGGGCGAAAGCCUGAUCCAGCCAGGCCGCGUGUGUGAAGAAGGUCUUCGGAUUGUAAAGCACUUUAAGUUGGGAGGCGUUACCAACAGAAUAAGCACCGGCUAACUUCGUGCCAGCAGCCGCGGUAAUUC
rnacentral:rRNA from 1 species